UACGUAGGAGCCAAGCGUUAUCCGGAAUCAUUGGGCUUAAAGGGUCCGUAGGCGGGUUAAUAAGUCAGAGGUGAAAGUCUGCAGCUCAACUGUAGAAGUGCCAUUGAUACUGUUAACCUUGAGUAAAUAAGAAGUGGUUAGAAUAUGUAGUGUAGCGGUGAAAUGCAUAGAUAUUACAUAGAAUACCGAUUGCGAAGGCAGAUCACUAAUAAUUCACUGACGCUGAUGGACGAAAGCGUAGGUAGCGAACAGG
rnacentral:misc_RNA from 1 species